ACUAGGCUUUGAAUUUCAUGGGUAAUGUUUUGUUUUUGAGUGCAUACAAGAAUGACUCCGCCUUUAAUUGUUAAUUGCAUGCCAUAGAUGUUACCUAAAUGAACAUGUUUUUCACAAAAUUUCCUUCAAGUGGUAUCAAGAGCCUGGGUCUAGUAGUUGGUGAAUCCUUUUGGGUUUUGUAGUUCAUAGUCUUUGAUUUGAAUGCUGUAAUUGUUAGAAGCUUUAUUCUUGCUUCUUUGAAUGUAAAUUUUGUUAGAAAAUUUGCCAUCUCCAAUGUUGUAGACGUAGUUCAUAUGAGCAUGAAUUUUGGAGCUAAAAUUUGGUGCCAUGUUUUUGGGGAAAUUUGGCCAAAUCCAAAGGGUGGUUUUUUGGGUUCUUGUUUGUCUUGUUAAAAGUGUUUUAAGGUGACUUUUGGUGUUUUGUUUCAAUUUGUUUGUUGCUUUGAAUAAAGUUUUGGUUUAUUAUUGAUUGGUGAUGGAUGAUUUAUGCCUUUAUUGUUUGACAAAACAUUUUUCUUACAACCCAUCCCAAUCAACUUUUCCUCACCUACCUAUCCACUUGCACAAAACACUUUCAAAUUUUGAAUUUUUCACCAAAACCUUUUCCCCCCUCCUUUUUUUCACUCUCACCAACCGGCCACCCUAUUAAAAUAGGGUACGUUUGGGGCUUUUAUGCAAUUACAUAAAGUUUUGAUACUUUUGUUUAUUUGUACUUUGACUCGAAAGUUUAUGUUUUUACGUAAAGGCCCAAAAACACUAAAGGACAAAUUGUUUUGCUCCUUUAAUGAAGUUUUUGUAUUUGAUGAAAUUUUUGGGUUCUAGUUGUAAUUACAUGAAGUAGUGGACUUUUGUGUUCUUACAAAGUGACCUCAAAAGUUUGUGUUUUACAACAUAGCCCAAAAAGUUGUGGUUAUUGCAUUUGGCCCAAAUUAGUUGAGAACAAAAUAGUUUUGUAUCUGUAAAUGAGAAUUGGAUUUUCAUUUCAUUUAGCUCCAUUUAAAUCAAUUCUAUGGAAACAAAAACCAAAUGAAAAUGUUGCAUUCAAGUUUAAUUAGUUAAAGCGUUAAUUAAUUAAAGAAAGGGUGAUUAUGAACCUAAGCCUACGAUAAUUGAGCUAUGUGAAAGGCCGUCUCAAAUUUGUUUGAACCAUGGGAAUGUGUAGAUUAGAUUUUGGUUGUAAUUUGAUAUGAUCAAAUGUUGUAAAAGAGCAUAAGCUCUUCUUUACUUAAAGUAAUUUGUUUUGAUCAAAUGUUGUAAAAGAGCAUAAGCUUUUCUUUACUUUGAAGUACUCAUUUUCUUGUUUUAUUUGAUAUGCAUGAAAUUGGAGUAGUUGGGUCCAACACCGAAUAGGAGAAACGCGCCUUAAUAUGAUUAAACGCGUAACUAAAAUCAAUCACCAUCCCUAGACCGAGAUCCAACACUAGGCUCGUGUUCGAUCUAAUCAAAGGUUCAUAGUCAUCCUAAGGCUCUAAGGCAACUAUAUAGUCCAUCAAGGAAUGCAAACCUUAUGUUAGUAGUACCAUAUACUCUUGCUUUAAAAACCGUUUUACAAGCAUAGUUGGAGUAUCAUAUACUACUAAAUCAAUCAUAUGGACCAAUAGUUGUAAUAGGACCAAAUUGUUUUAAUAAGAUUAAAAUGUAUGUUUAUAUGUGAUGAGACCUAAAACCCUCAACCAAACCAUUAUUAAGUUUAUAAGCGUGAGAGUGCUUUGAACACUCUUUCGUGGCCUUCCACCGUGGUAGGCUCCGAUCGCUUGUGACUCGUACACCGACUUCACCCUAUCAUGGGGGAGUACAAAGUGCGUACUUACACUCAGGAAGAGUUCUAUAUGCAUACAUGAUGUUGUGAAGGUAGGCAAUGAGAAUGAUCAACAUCAUAUCAUUGUGAGGUUGUUCUUGAACCCCUACUCGAACUUGCAUGUGGGAAUGACUUAACUGAAUGCAAUGGAGCCAACAUCAUAUCAUUGUGAGGCUUCAUUCUCUAGAGGCCAAAUAAGAUGGGUACUUGCAAGAGAUGCAAAUGAGUAAGCGUACUCUCUCAUUAUUAUUGAUGCUAGCCAACAUCAUAUCAUUGUGAGGUGGGCUUGGUAAUGAUAAGUCUCCCAUACCCUACUAAGAGUUUCCUCCAAAACUCUCGAAUUCCGAUGAGGGAUAUGGAAUUUGCCAAAAAUAGUGGGUGGUGCUAUUUGAUUUAAAGACCCGGAUCAAAUGGCUUAAAAUCAAUUUAUAUUCGUUAUGUAUUUGUUUAUCAAUAUAUUUGCAAACGCUAUCCAAAAAUUUGACAAAGAAAAGCCGAAAGCUUUAGUUUCCGGACUUGGUACUACAAUCCCAUAGAUUAUCUAUAAUGGCUUGUAUAUGUACCUAAGAAAUCUCAUACUCACAAUCUUCCUAUUGAUAAUGUAUCAUUGGAAGAACAUGUUAGAUAAGUCUAUCAUAAAGAGGACAACACUUUUAAUGUCAUAAUUCUUCAAUUACAAAUUGUUGUAUGAAGAAAUAAGAGUUGCUUUGAACAACCCUUAGCUAAUGCAAACAUUAGUGCUUGUUUCUUUGUUACAUGAACAAGGAACUUGAGAAGUAAGCACAAGGACAUGGACACUCUGUGUGCCAUGAUUCUUCACUUAUAAAUUGUUGUAUGAAGAAAUGAGAGUUGCCUUGAACAACUCUUGAAAGUUUGUAAUUAUGUUUAGAACAUAAUGGUUGGUUGAUAAAAUAGUCCAUCAACAUGGACUUAUGAUGAUUUUGAAUCAUUGAGUGUUGAAGUGUUAAACCACUUCUAGAGACGGAAACUAGGCAAUGACUUCACCUUUGUGUCCCUAUCCAAAUGGUUCACUAAGUUUAUUGUAAACUAUAUAGUGAACAAUAAC
rnacentral:lncRNA from 1 species